rnacentral:rRNA from 1 species
CAGUGGCGGACUGGUGAGUAACACGUAGGUGACCUGCCCCAAAGAGGAGAAUAACUUGACGAAAGUGAAGCUAAUACUCCAUGUGGUCAAUCAUUCGGUUGAUUGAUUAAAGCUAAGGCGCUUUGGGAGGGGCUUGCGGCCCAUCAGCUAGUUGGUAGGGUAAAGGCCUACCAAGGCGAAGACGGGUAGCUGGUCUGAGAGGACGAUCAGCCACAAUGGCACUGAAACACGGGCCAUACUCCUACGGGAGGCAGCAGUGAGGAAUAUUGCACAAUCGACGCAAGUCGGAUGCAGCAACGCCGCGUGGACGAUGAAGGCCUUCGGGUUGUAAAGUCCUUUUAAGAGGGACGAGGAAGGACGGUACCUCUUGAAUAAGUCUCGGCUAACUACGUGCCAGCAGCCGCGGUAACACGUAGGAGGCGAGCGUUAUCCGGAUUUAUUGGGCGUAAAGCGCAUGCAGGUGGCUAGGUAAGUCGGGUGUGAAAGCCCCGGACUUAAUCCGGGGAGGUCAUUCGAUACUGCUUGGCUUGAGAGCGGGAGAGGGAAGUGGAAUUCUCGGUGUAGUGGUGAUAUGCGUAGAUAUCGAGAGGAACACCAGUGGCGAAGGCGGCUUCCUGGCCCGUAUCUGACACUAAGAUGCGAAAGCGUGGGUAGCAAACGGACUUAGAUACUCCGGUAGUCCACGCUGUAAACGAUGGGUACUAGGUGUAGGGGGUGUAAAACUCUCUGUGCCAUAGUUAACGCACUAAGUACCCCGCCUGGGGACUACGGUCGCAAGGCUAAAACUCAAAGGAAUUGACGGGGGCCCGCACAAGCAGCGGAGCGUGUGGUUCAAUUCGAAGAUACACGAAGAACCUUACCUGGGCUUGACAUGUUGGUAGUAGUGAAGCGAAAGCGGAACGAUCCUUCGGGAAGCCAUCACAGGUGCUGCAUGGCUGUCGUCAGCUCGUGCCGUGAGGUGUUGGGUUAAGUCCUGUAACGAGCGCAACCGUCGGUGCCAGUUACAAGUGUCGGGCGGGACGGCCGGUGACAAUCCGGAGGAAGGUGGGGAUGAUGUCAAGUCAGCAUGUCCUUUAUGUCCAGG